UCAAGUUCCCGUUUGCCUCAUUGGGAGUCCAGCCAACUUGCUGUCUGUUGUUUAGUGUGGGCGAGGAGAUGGGAGGAAAGAACUGGGUGAUGGGAGGGUAGGAGGACAAAGAGACACUGUGGGGAGUGGAAAUUUCAUUGAAGGGGGCGAAGGAGGGGAGAGUGAGAAACAAGACUCUUGAUGGGGGAAAAAUGCAGCUUCAGUUCCUUUCUUAUGCUUCCUUGUGAUAUGGAAAUGAUCCUGAGUUCUCUAAGGCUUUGCUGACUGAACCCAACCUCUGACAAUGAGAGAGAAGAAGAAGAAGAAGAAGAAGAAGAAGAAGAAGAAGAAGAAGAAGAAGAAGAAGAAGAAGAAGAAGAAGAAGAAGAAGAAGAAGAAGAAGAAGAAGAAGAAAAGAAAAGAAAAGAAAAGAAAAGAAAAGAAAAGAAAAGAAAAGAAAAGAAAAGAAAAAGAAAGAAGAAAGAAGAAAGAAGGAGGAGGAGGAAGAAGAGGAGAAGGAAGAGGAGGAGGGAGAAGGAGAAGGGGAAGGGGAAGAGGAAGAGGAAGAAGGAGAAGGAGAAGGGAAAGAGGAAGAGGAAGAGGAAGAGGAAGAAGAUCCAACUAGAUUUACAUGGAAGAAAUAUUGCUGUAGAUAUCCUGAUUGCAACUCCUGCCUUCUUUCUAUCAGUUGAGGCCCAGAAGCUCUUACUCCAUCCUUUAAUUCUGACCUUGUGAGUGUCUACCCGCCUCAUGUGUGUUUCUUGAAGACAACAUAUGGUAGGGUUUUGGAUUCUAACCCAUUCUGCGAUUCAUCUACGUUUUAUGGCUUCUGAUUCCAGGGCAGAAGUUCUGAUUCCAGGGCAGAAGAGAAGAAAGGGCUAGGCAAUUGGAGGACACUAAAUUCCAGGACACCAAAAAACAUGUCUCUGCAAUGGAGAGCAUGUUUCAUCAUCACUCCACUGGAAUCAUGAAUGGUCAAUAGAGUGAUCAUAGUUCUUAUCAUUUUCAAAGUUAUUUGCUUUCACAGUGUCAUUGUUAUUAUAUACAUUGCUCUCUUGCUUCUGCUCAUUUCUUCCUUUGUCACUUUAUAAAAGUCCUCAAAAUUGUUCAUUUGCAUAUCUAGAUAUUUUAGUCGAAAUCACUUUAAUAGUUCUGCUUAUUUCACCCUAUACCACCCUAUACUAUAUAUUCAUUUAAGUUGAUGGGGUGGGUAUAUAUCAUUUGGGGAAUGACUGAACAAAUAUUGAUAUAUGAAUGUAAUGAAAUACUAGAAACCUGGAAAGAUUUGCAUGAACUGAUGAAAAGUCAAUGAAGCAGAGACACCUUAUAACACCAUUAUAGAGAUCCACAAUGUUGGAAGAUUUAGAAACAACACAAUGAAUAAACAUGAUUCCAGAGGACCAGUGACAAAGUAUACUAUCCACUCCUAACAGAGUGGUGAUGGACUUAAGAUUCAGAAUAAGGCAUAUAUUUUUGUACAUGGCCAGUCUAGAAAUUUACUUUUGCUUGCCCAUGCAUACUUGUUAUAAGGCUUUUGUUUUUUCUUUUUUGUUUCAAUGGAAUUGGGGAAAUGUAGAAAGAAAAAAAAUAGAUUUUUGUUAAUAAAAAAAUUAAAUAAAAAAAAAAGACUAGGAUGGAUUAUAUUUGGGAAACUUUAGAGUGCUCACAGGAACAAUUCUUGAAUUUGGGUCCAGGGAUAUCAUAAGGUUACAAACUCAGAUCACCUUAAUAAAUGAAGAAUCAAAAUUGUAGUUGACCUUCAAAGGGCUAUGAAAUAGUGUGUGUGGUAGGUGUCACAUAUUUCCAGUGAUGGCCUAUGUGUAAGAAAUGUCAUUAGAAAUAACAUUGAGGAGAAAUACAAUUGGAAAAGGAGUUGAUCUGGCACAUGAUGAGAACUUAAAUGUUUGUUGAUUUGAUAUAGUGAGAAUGGGAGAAAAUAAAUAGAAAUUCCAAAUGCAACAUUAUCACCCCUAAAUGAGCCCAAGAAAAAUGUGUUGGGUGGUUAUUCUGUGGAAGUUCCUUUAGAGAUUUUUGAAUAAGAAUCCCACAGGAAGAGAUAGUGUGAAUGGAUGGUACUCAUAUAUAUGUAUAUAUAUGUAGAUGUUCUCAAACUUCUUGAUCUCAGGACCCCCUUUACACCCUUAAAAACUUAUUGAAGACCCAAAGAGCCUUUGUUUAUGUAGGAUGUUUCUAUUGAUAUUUUCUAUAUUAAAAAUUAGAAUAUUUUAAAAGUAUUGUUAUUAAAUUUUUUUUUGAUUUCCCAAGAUCCUGAAAGAAUCUCAAGACUCCAACAAACUUAAGAACCAAUUGCUAAAUUUCUAUUUGAAACCUGGCAAACCAAGUCAGGGCUUGACUCAAACCCAUAUUUCAUAUUAUUUAUCUCUUACAUGUUCUAUGGCCAAUCAGACUAGGCUGUUCUUUGGCUCACUAAUAUACCUGUGCUCCCCUCUUCUUCCUUCCCCAAGGUUGAAAUGUUUUCCCUAUCUUGUCUUAUAAAUCUCUACCCAUUUCUUAAAGCUCAAUUCAAAUACAACUCCUAUGGCAACCCUUCUCUGCUCACCCUGGUAAUAUACUAGGGAAAGGCUGCCCUUAAUGAGAGCUUUCUGACCUGGCCCCAGUGCCAAUAAUGUUGAGACGAGGGAGCUUCUGAAGGAUGUCUAUGGGAAGUAAUAAUACCAGGAAAGAAAAGAGAACCUAAUAUUUGGGAACUAAAAUUUUUCUCCUGUUGUUGAGAGAGAUAGAAUUUAGGGCUUUCCAGUAGAGUACUGUAUCUGACCAUAAUUAAUGCCUCACACGUUACAAAAAAGACAAUUGGUGUGACCUAAAGGACUCCUACUUCAUGGGCAUAAAGGCACUCUAGAUUGAUUUGGGAUAAUCAGAUCAAGAGAGAACUCUGUAACUGAGAUGGAACAGGCUUUAUUGACUUAGAAUGAUAGCAAACAUAUAGCAGACAUAUUUCCGGUGUUCAAAGAAAAAAAUGUUAACAAUUUUCCGGAGAUCACAAGCACCGGCAAGGCUUUGGAGCUCUUACAUUUAUAGACGUCUUAUCUUUGGAGGGAGAUAGGGGAAAAAAGUACAAUCUUCUACUACUGGCAGACCCUUUGACCUGGUAUGAACAGACCUAUAAUUGAGAAUUCUAAUAUUUGAUGCCUAUGAUUUAUGCAUUUGGCAUAUAGUAUGUAACUUAGGUCCACAUUCUUUGAUCCUUCCUUAUCUGCUGGCUCAUUCUCUAUUGCCUAAGAGCAUACCCAAAUUCCUCUCAUCCCUAUAUAUAUAUUAAAUAAGGAUGUAGCACCUUAUAAAAAGUGGGAGUUUGUUAAGUUAGGACUACUUACCAAACUCCCACUUUUAUUUCUGGAUCAAGUUCCCAGUGGGACAGUUGAGAAUUCAAUCAGUUAAACAUGAGGGGCUGAGUUUCGAAAACUUCUACUCAUGAGCCCCCACUGGAAUGUUUAACAUUGAAUGUAAGCAAAACAAUUAGCUUUUAGAAAGCAUAUCUACUAAGCAGGGAUAGUAAGGGCAGUUGUUACAGAAGCAAUUCCCUAAAUUAGUGAUUAAACCAGUGUUAAGCGUCUAAAUAUCUGGUGACCUGGUUUAGAAGGGAUGACAUGAAGAUGAUGGUUAUGCAGAUGAAAUUCCAACUUGAUACCCUCAAGCACUUAAUAAACCUGAAUAUGACUCAAGGCUUUGCACAAGAUACCAACAGGGUAAACAAUAAUAGGGAAAACUUAAAUAGACUAGAAAAGAGGAAGCAGCAGGGAUAAUUUCUUUGUGCCCACUUAGAGCUAUGCCAGGGGUAAAACAAAAUGAAGUCCAUAAAGUGAAAAUGCAUAAGAGAUUUUCCCCAGAAGACCUUGAGUCCAUCAGGAAGAGAACACCACUUUUUUCAUGACAAACCUAGUAGGGUGAUUAAGGAGAUGCGUAGGGCAAUUGAUCCAGACUUCAAUGAUUUUGCCCUACUGAUGAAGGAGGUUUUGACUAAGAGAUCCUGAAAAGAGUCUAUGAAAAUCUAGGAAUAACACCAAAAUAUCAUGUACUGUACCAUCCCCAAAGCUCAGGCCAAAUUGAGCUCGUGAAUAAGGAAAUAAAGACUAUCUAUGGUAGGGAAGCUCUGUGCUGAAACUCAUCUCAAAUGACCUGAGAUUCUUCCCAUAGAUUUGUUUUACUUAAGUAUGAGGCCAAGAGCAGAUUUGCAUAUAUCAUCCUAUGAAAUGCUCUUUAGACAUGCUCCACUACAAUCAAAAACUUGUAAGACAGUCUAUAUAUCUCUUUUAGGAGGAGAUUGUCAACUUGCUUCUUACUUAAGUGCUUUGCAACAAAGACUAAAAGAAUUACACGAAAUGGGAGUAUUAAUUCAAACUGGUCCUUUGGAUUAUUCUCUUCAUAAUUAUGAAACAGG